AUACGUAGGUGGCAAGCGUUGUCCGGAUUUACUGGGCGUAAAGGAUGUGUAGGCGGAUAUUUAAGUGAGAUGUGAAAUCCCCGAGCUUAACUUGGGGCCUGCAUUUCAAACUGGAUAUCUAGAGUGCAGGAGAGGAGAAUGGAAUUCCUAGUGUAGCGGUGAAAUGCGUAGAGAUUAGGAAGAACACCAGUGGCGAAGGCGAUUCUCUGGACUGUAACUGACACUGAGGCACGAAAGCGUGGGUAGC
rnacentral:rRNA from 1 species